rnacentral:SRP_RNA from 1 species
GCUGGGCAUGGUGGUGAAUGCCUGUAAUCCCAGCUACCUGGGAGGCUGAGGCAGGAGAAUUGCUUGAACCCAGGAGAUGGAGGAUGCAGUGAGACCUGAUCGCGCCACUGCACUCCCGCCUGGGUGACAGGGUGAGACUCCGUCUCAA